UUAUUACAGGAAAACGUGUACAUGUGUUAGGCACUAUGUUUUAUCUGUUGCAAUUAUCUGUUUAUCUGUAUCACUCAGCACACUGUAAACUUGUCAGUGGUUUGAAUUGGAAUAUGACACACUACCUACCAUGUAGGAUCAUGUGACUUAAUUAACAUAGGUAGGUAAACACAGUUUUAAUUAACAUAUAAAGAACAAAAUACUAAAAGCACAAAGGAGUGAUAUACUGCUUAGUAUUUUAAGGGAAGAGCUCAUACAAAUUGUGGUUUUAAGUCUGAUUGGAAGAAUGCUGGGAAAGGGAAGCAUUC
rnacentral:lncRNA from 1 species